CCGGGGAAACGAGGUAAGAGGGGCCGAAGAGGAGAAUCUGGUCCUCCUGGUCAGCCCGGUCCUCAGGGCCCACCUGGUCCAAAAGGUGAUAAGGGAGAACAAGGGGAUCAGGG